rnacentral:rRNA from 1 species
AUUGAACGCUGGCGGCAGGCCUAACACAUGCAAGUCGAGCGGAGCGGCGGACGGGUGAGUAAUGCCUAGGCAUCUGCCUGGUAGUGGGGGAUAACGUUCGGAAACGGGCGCUAAUACCGCUUACUAUCAGAUGAGCCUAGGUCGGAUUAGCUAGUUGGUGGGGUAAAGGCCUACCAAGGCGACGAUGCGUAACUGGUCCGAGAGGAUGAUCAGUCACACUGGAACUGAAACACGGACCAGACUCCUACGGGAGGCAGCAGUGGGGAAUAUUGGACAAUGGGCUAAAGCCUGGUCCAACCAUGCCGCGUGUGUGAAGAAGGUCUUCGGAUUGUAAAGCUCUUUAAGUUGGGAGGCGUUACCAACAGAAGAAGCACCGGCUAACUUCGUGCCAGCAGCCGCGGUAAUUC